CCCUUAGACGUUCUGGGCCGCACGCGCGCUACACUGACCAGUGCAACAAGCAUCCGUCCUUGGCCGACAGGCUCGGGCAAUCUUUGAACGCUGGUCGUGAUGGGGAUAGACUUUUGCAAUUUUUGGUCUUCAACGAGGAAUUCCUAGUAAACGCAAGUCAUCAACUUGCAUUUAUUACGUCCCUGCCCUUUGUACACACCGCCCGUCGCACCUACCGAUUGAAUGGUCCGGUGAAGCCUCCGGAUUGGCGCGCACCUCGGUGCCGCCGAGAAGUUGGCUAAACCUUACCAUUUAGAGGAAGGUGAAGUCGUAACA
rnacentral:rRNA from 1 species